UUCAUCGAGAGCAGCUGAGGGACUGGCCCUAUGACGCUGCGGCAACCCCCAAUGACGGGAAGGUGCCAAUUCCAACGGAGAUAUCCGGCAGAUGAG
rnacentral:ncRNA from 1 species